rnacentral:rRNA from 1 species
CCUACGGGUGGCUGCAGUGAGGAAUAUUGGUCAAUGGACGAGAGUCUGAACCAGCCAAGUCGCGUGAAGGAUGAAUGCCCUAUGGGUUGUAAACUUCUUUUACAAAGGAAUAAAACGACGCACGUGUGCCUUUCUGCAUGUACUUUAUGAAUAAGGAUCGGCUAACUCCGUGCCAGCAGCCGCGGUAAUACGGAGGAUCCGAGCGUUAUCCGGAUUUAUUGGGUUUAAAGGGAGCGUAGAUGGGUUGUUAAGUCAGUUGUGAAAGUUCGCGGCUCAACCGUAAAAUUGCAAUUGAUACUGGCAGUCUUGAGUACAGUUGAGGUAGGCGGAAUUCGUGGUGUAGCGGUGAAAUGCUUAGAUAUCGCGAAGAACCCCGAUUGCGAAGGCAGCUUACUAAACUGUGACUGACAUUGAUGCUCGAAAGUGUGGGGAUCAAACAGGAUUAGAUACCCCUGUAGUC